rnacentral:rRNA from 1 species
GGGUCAGUAGGUUGGUCGUGCCACCGGUACGUACUGGUCUCACUGAUUCCUCCUUCCUGAAGAACCGUAAUGCCAUUAAUUUGGUGUUGCGGGGAAGCAGGACUGUUACUUUGAAAAAAUUAGAGUGUUUAAAGCAAGCUAACGCUUGAACACAUUAGCAUGGAAUAAUGAAAUAGGACGAUCGAUCCUAUUUUGUUGGUUUCUAGGAUUGACGUA